GAGAGCACAGUACGAUGAAAGUGGUGAACUGUGUUCGAGGGGGAUUUAUUGUAUAUUGUUGGCCUCUAUGAUAGAAUCAGUCGGGGAGGCCUGAGAGACUAUGGUUUACCCUAU
rfam:Picea glauca, whole genome shotgun sequence.